rnacentral:rRNA from 1 species
UGGGGAAUAUUGCACAAUGGGCGAAAGCCUGAUGCAGCAACGCCGCGUGAGUGAUGAGGGCCUUCGGGUUGUAAAGCUCUGUCUUUUGGGACGAUAAUGACGGUACCAAAGGAGGAAGCCACGGCUAACUACGUGCCAGCAGCCGCGGUAAUACGUAGGUGGCAAGCGUUGUCCGGAUUUACUGGGCGUAAAGGAUGCGUAGGCGGAUUUUUAAGUGAGAUGUGAAAACCCUAAGCUUAACUUGGGGACUGCAUUUCAUACUGGAAAUCUAGAGUGCGGGAGAGGAGAAUGGAAUUCCUAGUGUAGCGGUGAAAUGCGUAGAGAUUAGGAAGAACACCAGUGGCGAAGGCGAUUCUCUGGACCGUAACUGACGCUGAGGCAUGAAAGCGUGGGUAGCAAACAGGAUUAGAUACCCUGGUAGUCCACGCCGUAAACGAUGAGUACUAGGUGUAGGAGGUAUCGACCCCUUCUGUGCCGCAGUUAACACAAUAAGUACUCCGCCUGGGAAGUACGAUCGCAAGAUUAAAACUUAAAUGAAUUGACGGGGUCAUAGCUGUUUCCU